rnacentral:rRNA from 1 species
AACAAACGCUGGCGGCGUGCCUAAUACAUGCAAGUCGAACGGGGAAAGCUUUCGGGUGAGUACUAGUGGCGCACGGGUGAGUAACGCGUGAGUAAUCUUCCUUAGAGUGGGGGAUAACCAGUCGAAAGAUUGGCUAAUACCGCAUAAGACCACAAGAUCUGCGGAUCAAGGGGUAAAAGGUUUUUCGCUCUAAGAUGAGCUCGCGUGAGAUUAGCUAGUUGGUGAGGUAAUGGCUCACCAAGGCGACGAUCUCUAACAGGUCUGAGAGGAUGAUCUGUCACACUGGAACUGAGACACGGUCCAGACUCCUACGGGAGGCAGCAGUAGGGAAUAUUGCACAAUGGAGGAAACUCUGAUGCAGCGACGCCGCGUGAGUGAUGAAGGACUUCGGUUCGUAAAGCUCUGUCGUAUGGGAAUAAGAAAGUGAAUGUACCAUGCAAGAAAGGAUCGGCUAACUUCGUGCCAGCAGCCGCG